AAAUUGAAGAGUUUGAUCAUGGCUCAGAUUGAACGCUGGCGGCAGGCCUAACACAUGCAAGUCGAGCGGUAGCACAGAGAGCUUGCUCUCGGGUGACGAGCGGCGGACGGGUGAGUAAUGUCUGGGAAACUGCCUGAUGGAGGGGGAUAACUACUGGAAACGGUAGCUAAUACCGCAUAACGUCGCAAGACCAAAGUGGGGGACCUUCGGGCCUCAUGCCAUCAGAUGUGCCCAGAUGGGAUUAGCUAGUAGGUGGGGUAACGGCUCACCUAGGCGACGAUCCCUAGCUGGUCUGAGAGGAUGACCAGCCACACUGGAACUGAGACACGGUCCAGACUCCUACGGGAGGCAGCAGUGGGGAAUAUUGCACAAUGGGCGCAAGCCUGAUGCAGCCAUGCCGCGUGUGUGAAGAAGGCCUUCGGGUUGUAAAGCACUUUCAGCGGGGAGGAAGGCGGUGAGGUUAAUAACCUCAUCGAUUGACGUUACCCGCAGAAGAAGCACCGGCUAACUCCGUGCCAGCAGCCGCGGUAAUACGGAGGGUGCAAGCGUUAAUCGGAAUUACUGGGCGUAAAGCGCACGCAGGCGGUCUGUCAAGUCGGAUGUGAAAUCCCCGGGCUCAACCUGGGAACUGCAUUCGAAACUGGCAGGCUAGAGUCUUGUAGAGGGGGGUAGAAUUCCAGGUGUAGCGGUGAAAUGCGUAGAGAUCUGGAGGAAUACCGGUGGCGAAGGCGGCCCCCUGGACAAAGACUGACGCUCAGGUGCGAAAGCGUGGGGAGCAAACAGGAUUAGAUACCCUGGUAGUCCACGCCGUAAACGAUGUCGAUUUGGAGGUUGUGCCCUUGAGGCGUGGCUUCCGGAGCUAACGCGUUAAAUCGACCGCCUGGGGAGUACGGCCGCAAGGUUAAAACUCAAAUGAAUUGACGGGGGCCCGCACAAGCGGUGGAGCAUGUGGUUUAAUUCGAUGCAACGCGAAGAACCUUACCUGGUCUUGACAUCCACAGAACUUUCCAGAGAUGGAUUGGUGCCUUCGGGAACUGUGAGACAGGUGCUGCAUGGCUGUCGUCAGCUCGUGUUGUGAAAUGUUGGGUUAAGUCCCGCAACGAGCGCAACCCUUAUCCUUUGUUGCCAGCGGUCCGGCCGGGAACUCAAAGGAGACUGCCAGUGAUAAACUGGAGGAAGGUGGGGAUGACGUCAAGUCAUCAUGGCCCUUACGACCAGGGCUACACACGUGCUACAAUGGCAUAUACAAAGAGAAGCGACCUCGCGAGAGCAAGCGGACCUCAUAAAGUAUGUCGUAGUCCGGAUUGGAGUCUGCAACUCGACUCCAUGAAGUCGGAAUCGCUAGUAAUCGUAGAUCAGAAUGCUACGGUGAAUACGUUCCCGGGCCUUGUACACACCGCCCGUCACACCAUGGGAGUGGGUUGCAAAAGAAGUAGGUAGCUUAACCUUCGGGAGGGCGCUUACCACUUUGUGAUUCAUGACUGGGGUGAAGUCGUA
rnacentral:rRNA from 1 species